CGGAGGCAUUGCAAACCGGAGGUGUAUCUUGAGAGAAAUCAGAGCUCCAAGAUCUUCUCUGUGUUCGACCUCUUCAUUUCAUCGCAUUCCAACUCCGUGAUUCUAUUCGUGUAAAAAAAUUUCUUAUUUGUUCUGGAAAUUUGGUGAAAUCGAGCUGCUAUGCCAGCAAGUAUGGAGACCACGGUCACGCAGCAAUUGCAGUUUUCACCAUGGAUUCACUCGAAGAGUAUUGCUGCCAAACCGAAGGGUUCGCUACAUUUUUCUCGGAGAUUAGGGGAGCAGCAUAUAUUGCAGGUCCCAUUUUCAUUCGAUUUACGGGUAUCGAGACAUUCAAGUCGUCGGAGAACAGUCGCUUUGAAAAUCUCCUGUUCUUACAAGAACUCUUCAGUGUUGGAAUCUGGAAACCAAUGUGCUUCUGUUGAUGAAUCCUUGGCUAUACAGAGGAAGUCCCGGGAGAUUGAGUCAUAUUUAAAUGGGCGCUGUAUAUAUCUUGUUGGAAUG
rnacentral:misc_RNA from 1 species